rnacentral:lncRNA from 1 species
AAAUCCUAAAAUUCUUCAUAGAAGUGAAAACAUAGUAGAAACUCCAACAAGCCUCAAAAUGCCGUUGCACAUUAUUUCAUCAAAGAGGCUACAUCUUUGAAUGUGUACCUGGACUCGAGAUUAUAACGAAAAAACAGAGUCAGUCAAGGCAGGAAGGAUUAACAGCAGCAAUGUGAACUCAACAGCCACAAAAUUAAAUAAGCUUGAACCCACAAUACACAUAUAGAACCCAUGAGUGUUUUAAAAUCAAGCAACACCACUCAAAUAAACCCAGAAUCAACUGAAUAUUAACCAAUGAACCCCAAUAACUUCAGCGAGCAAGUAACAAACUAGGACAGGCAAUUCAGUAUCUAGAAAUCUAAAGCUAUUCGAUGGAACAGUAAGUAUUUUUGAUUUUCAAAUUUGUUUUGUUUUUUUGGUUUUGAAAUUUGAAUUUUUUACUUCAGAUUGGAAAAACUAAGAGGGAAAGCUUUCGAAGGCUAGAUGGCUGAAAGAGAUGUAUGGUUUUUUGGGAGGAAUUCCAUUGUUUUUGGGGUUUUGAAGUGUUAUUUUCAGAUCUUAGAUCUGAAACUUGGAGAGCACACUUUGGAAGAAUUUUU